rnacentral:lncRNA from 1 species
CGGUGGUUUGUCAUUUAUUGCUGGCCUUCUGAACAUUGUAAUGCCAGAAACAUUAAACACUAACAGAUGCCGUGCUUGUUUUGUCAACCUAGGAAAGAAAACUGAGCGUGUUACAACAGGUCAAGAAUCAGGAACUUUAGCUGAAGCGCAGGCUCUACUUCAGGAUGCAAAUGACGACGAUGAUGAUGCUAUUAAUGGGCAGAUAGUUUUUGGUAAUGAUGUUGAAACUGAUGAUGAUGAACAGCCAUUAGUGUGAGGAAGUGACUUUCCGUGUAGGGAAAUAUUUUUACCAUUGAAGUAUCUAGUAUAUAAUUUUUGUUUUGAACCUAGUCUAGGUAAAUUAAAGAGGGAUGAUUUAUCUACAUGAAGAGUCUAAUGUAUUUUCCAUGUUUAUCUGUGAUAUGUUUUGAGUGAGGAACAUCCGUAUGUCUAACACUGAUGGCCAUAUCAUUAAAACUAUAAAUAAUUUUGUUUAUAAUCUUAUUUAACUUGUGAGGCGAUAUACAGAUAUUUUUGUGAAAGAUAACCAAAUAAGUGACAAACAACCAAAAAAAUAUUUAGUAUUAAUGAUAUGGACAGCAUAAUAUCCUGACAGUCACCAUCAUUACUCAAUAGGAAAUAUUAUUGGCAUUUCUGUGCAAAUGUCACUUCAUGCUUUACUUUGAUCAAAUUUGCAGAAUCACAGGGGUUAAAUGGAAUUAUUGAUUUUUGCAGCAACCUGUAUCAUACACAUCAAUCUUUUACGAAAUGAGUAAUGAUAUUAGCAUAAUAGAAAGCCAAAAGGGCUCAGGGAUUUCUCCAUGAAACAGGUUUGUCUGUUUUUUUUUACAGACACUGUAUAUAUCAUUUUUAUCUCAUAUUGACUGUUGCAUAAUAUAUUAUUCUGGUCAAUCUAGUUUCUCACUUUUAUAUUGAAUGAUGAAGAGAUUCAUUUCUACAUGAAAGGAUGAUUGCAAUUCAUAUUUCAAAAUAUUUUAUAGUUGAUAAGAAGCUUUUAAUAAUUAUUUCAUAACUGCUUAAUUAUUUUGAAACCUAUUAUUUGACAUGCUUCACUAAUAACAAUAAUACAAUCAAAUUACUUACAGUAGGAGAGAAUUGUACAAGCUGCUUUGUAUUGCAGUACAGGUACAACUGGACUGUGUAUGAGUGUUUUUUGAGUGAAGGACAAUUUUUCAUUUUUAUUUUAGAAUGUUAAUUCCAAUUCUUUAUUGCUCAUUUCAAAUAUUUUCAUAUGGUAUGCUCAUUCAGUAUGUACUUGAUUCAAUUGUGUUUAGAAUAAGUGUUGAUAUUAUUGCCUAUUUUCUCUUUUGAAAAUAUUAUUUCAACUCCAGACUUUAUUUGUAAUAAGAAAGAAGGCUUUAAAGAUGUUAGAUGUGUGUAUAUAGCUUAAAAUAAUUAUUUGCAAUAAUUAGACAAUAUUAAAAGUAAAUGGCAAAAA